rnacentral:rRNA from 1 species
UCGGUGCCCUUGGGUCGCGUAUUCCCUUCUGGGUUUACGUGUGUUCCGAGGUUUUGCGCCGACCAUCCUUUCCGGGAAGGCAUCCUGCCCUUUACUGGGUCGGGGUGCGCUAACUUGCCGGAUCAUUUACUGUGAAAAAAUUAGAGUGUUUCAAGCAGGCUUUAUGCUAUGAAUACAUUAGCAUGGAAUAAUAAUUUAGGACUUCGGUUCUAUUUUGUUGGUUUCUAGGACUGAAGUAAUGAUUGAUAGGGAUAGUUGGGGGUGCUAGUAUUCAGCGGCCAGAGGUGAAAUUCUCGGAUUCGCUGAAGACUAACUUAUGCGAAAGCAUU